rnacentral:rRNA from 1 species
GACGAACGCUGGCGGCGUGCUUAACACAUGCAAGUCGAACGGAAAGGCCCUGCUUUUGUGGGGUGCUCGAGUGGCGAACGGGUGAGUAACACGUGAGUAACCUGCCCUUGACUUUGGGAUAACUUCAGGAAACUGGGGCUAAUACCGGAUAGGAGCUCCUGCUGCAUGGUGGGGGUUGGAAAGUUUCGGCGGUUGGGGAUGGACUCGCGGCUUAUCAGCUUGUUGGUGGGGUAGUGGCUUACCAAGGCUUUGACGGGUAGCCGGCCUGGGAGGGUGACCGGCCACAAUGGGACUGAGAUACGGCCCAGACUCCUACGGGAGGCAGCAGUGGGGAAUAUUGCACAAUGGGCGGAAGCCUGAUGCAGCAACGCCGCGUGCGGGAUGACGGCCUUCGGGUUGUGAACCUCUUUCGCCUGUGACGAAGCGUGAGUGACGGUAAUGUGUAAAGAAGCACCGGCUAACUACGUG